rnacentral:rRNA from 1 species
CCUCCGUAGGUAACCUGCGGAGGGAUCAUUACAAGAACGCCCGGGCUUCGGCCUGGUUAUUCAUAACCCUUUGUUGUCCGACUCUGUUGCCUCCGGGGCGACCCUGCCUUCGGGCGGGGGCUCCGGGUGGACACUUCAAACUCUUGCGUAACUUUGCAGUCUGAGUAAACUUAAUUAAUAAAUUAAAACUUUUAACAACGGAUCUCUUGGUUCUGGCAUCGAUGAAGAACGCAGCGAAAUGCGAUAAGUAAUGUGAAUUGCAGAAUUCAGUGAAUCAUCGAAUCUUUGAACGCACAUUGCGCCCCCUGGUAUUCCGGGGGGCAUGCCUGUUCGAGCGUCAUUUCACCACUCAAGCCUCGCUUGGUAUUGGGCAACGCGGUCCGCCGCGUGCCUCAAAUCGUCCGGCUGGGUCUUCUGUCCCCUAAGCGUUGUGGAAACUAUUCGCUAAAGGGUGUUCGGGAGGCUACGCCGUAAAACAACCCCAUUUCUAAGGUUGACCUCGGAUCAGGUAGGGAUACCCGCUGAACUUAAGCAUAUCAAUAAGCGGAG